ACGAGAGGCCCAAACGUUAUUCGGAAUUACUGGGCGUAAAGCGCACGCAGGCGGUCUGCUAAGUUUGGAGUGACAGUUGGUGGCUCAACUACCAAAGUGCUUUGAAAACUGACAGACUCGAGGGCUUCAGAGGGACACGGAAUUCCGGGUGGAGUGGUGAAAUGCGUAGAGAUCCGGAGGAACACCAAAGGCGAAGGCAGUGUCCUGGGGAGUACCUGACGCUCAGGUGCGAAAGCCAGGGGAGCGAACGGGA
rnacentral:rRNA from 1 species